rfam:Triticum aestivum genome assembly, contig: Triticum_aestivum_CS42_TGACv1_scaffold_603179_7DL
CCAGUACUCUCCGUCCGGAAAUACUCGUAGAAGAAAUGCAUAAAAAUGAAUGUAUUUAAAAUUAAAAUACGUUUAGAUGCAUCCAUUCCUUCGACAAGUAUUUCCAGACGGAGGGAGUAUCAU